rnacentral:rRNA from 1 species
UACAGAGGGUGCGAGCGUUAAUCGGAAUUACUGGGCGUAAAGCGUGCGUAGACGGCUAUCUAAGUCGGGUGUGAAAGCCCCGGGCUCAACCUGGGAAUUGCAUUCGAGACUGAAUAGCUAGGGUACGGUAGAGGGAAGCGGAAUUUCCGGUGUAGCGGUGAAAUGCGUAGAUAUCGGAAGGAACAUCAGCGGCGAAAGCGGCUUCCUGGACCAGUACCGACGUUCAGGCACGAAAGCGUGGGGAGCAAACAGG